AUCUUCAAUCUUCUAUAUGUCAGAAUCCAGUUACUCCAUUGCUGUUCUAGGGAGGGAAGAAGGAUGAUCAAAGGUGACAAGACCAUGCUGGAGAAACCCACAGAAACAGUCAACUUGACCUAAUGAGAAAUUUUACAAUGGAAACGGAGCAGAAGACAGAGGCAAUCCUUGAAUAUAACAUUUAACUUUUUGAUACAAGUGAGGCCAGAAGAAGGCAUGGGACCAACUGGAACUGAAGUUACAUAUUGUGUCAAGAUGUAGCACUCUCAGCAACAGCAGCACAUUUGUGUGAAUGUCUGCAUGUUCUCUGCCAUGAAUAUGAUGGACUGAACCCCUGAAAAUAUACAGGGUCAGAAAGAAAGAAAGCUCUGCAUGAGAGAAAGAAGAGAAGACUUCAAAGGAUGAGAUGAAUGAACUUUAAUGAGUGAAUGCCAUGUAAAGAACAGAAUGCUUAUAAAGGAAUCAUGAUGAUGAGUACAAUGCCAUAUAUUUCUGUAGUCAUUACAUCCUAUGCACACACUAUCAUGCUCAAAUCACAUGCAAACCAGAAUAUGUCCAUCUUAACAAUUAGAAAAUGAAUAUGGUAAAAUAUUAUCUCAAUUUAUUAUUAACUCUUGUCAUUUUCCCAAAACCCCAUCUUUCUAUCGUGCCACAUAUAACCUUUAUGUUUUAAUGAGUUUUGAAUUUCACCCUGAAGUUAGAGAAGAUUUUAAGUAUUUUAAUGAUGUUAUCAGAUUUGUAGGUUUAUAUGAAUGAAAUAUAGGCAAGGAGAAGAAAUAUAAAGACCUAAGGGGAGAAGAAAAUAAUUAGAGAAAGAUUUACAAUUUCUAAGAAGAAAGUAAUCUUCGCAGAUGUUGGUUUCAGCCAGUAUUUAGCCAUAAAAUGCAUCUCAUGAGACAUCACUUCAAUGUCAACAGGCCACAUUUAGAGACGUCAGUGAUCAUAAUUAUAAAUUAUUGCAUUAGUGCAUACAAAACAGCAGCAUUUCUAAAUGGAGCUGCUUUGGAGAUGUGACAACAACUAGCAAAGGGUGUUUGUAGGAGAAUAAUCAAUUCAGUCCAUCAGAUAUAGAGAGUAGGAUCUCAAACUAGUCUUUCUUUUAGAAAACUUCCAAACAUAAUGUUUAUAUGCAGAUUUUUCUAAAUUAAUGCUUCAUUUGUAGCAUAGAUAUGUGAUUACAAACUUCUUUGUCUAAUAUGCAGUAUUGUACUGUUUAGAAAUUAAUUGCCAAUUCUUAGUAUUUUCAGAAUUCUUUACAAUUUCAUAUUCUGCAUCCUUCCGAGUUUUCUAAUACAAGACUCUGGUUAUGUUUUCAAAUUUAUAAGGAAAACUGAACUAUACAUUAGCAAUGUGAUGAGGCACUGAAUUUAGGGGUAAAAACAUGAAUUAAGAGUAUUUCUGCAAGUAAGACUGCUGCAGAAUUUGGCUGUUCUUUUGUUUAGGAAUACACAGAAAAGUAUGAAUAUUUAUGCAUGCAUUUAAAGAACACUUUCUUCUUUUAAAUGAUAUGAUUUUAAUAUAAAAUAUCCACCUGAUCUUCUCAUAUUUGCAUGUGUUGUUGUGUUCAGAAUUCUGUCUAGAAACUGAGUCAGAAUUUGUGUAAAGUUUUACUUUGCAUGGAAUGAGAGUUAAGCAUGCCAUCUUGCUCUAGAAUCUUUUCAUUGCAAGUGAAACAAAUACUCUGUGAAAUAUAUAUGUGUUUAGAACACACUCUUAAUGUCAUUAUGAACUUAGACUUAAUGACUAGUCUUUGAUGACCCUUCAAUCUAUAGAUUAAAAAUAUGUUACACAACCAUUAUGCCAUUUUCUUUAUUUACUACUGAGAUAUAAAUCAUUCUAAAAUGUAUAUUCAAGUUUUCAAGCUAUAGCAAAUUGCACCAUUUAAGUAUUUUCUUUUCUUUUCUGCCCACUCCAUCCCAACUCAGCCCAUGAAUAUCUUAUGUUUUAAUUCUUCAUUUAAAGCCACAUUUCCCAAAGAACUAAAUUGUCUUAUAUUUCUGAUCUUAUACUUAGAUUCAUGAGGGGAUAACAAUAUUAUAUUCUGGCCUUUGUCAGGUGAUGUGGUCAAUUUUUGAUAAAAAGAAUCUUUUACAUGUGUGCUAAUAGCUUCUCCUACACUGGAUUUUCUAUGGAGCUACAUUGGAAGAAGGCUGAGAGGGUUGUACAUGCUUGUAUAACCCAUACAGUGUCACUUUCUUCUUCAUGUGAAUGCUCUAUUGCCUGUGUAACCAGCAUGAGGAGGUACUUCACUUUGUGAAUAUUAUCUGCCCUGUGUUCAGUAUAUGUCUUCUUGACCAUUCCUUUAUAUAGCUAGCUAAAUAUUUAUGUUGUCCCUAGUGUAUCAUCUGCCAUGGCAUAUACACAUCUACCCUUCAGUGGCUUGAGGACUUAGUGGGUAAGCAUAUUUCAACAUUUAAGACACUGAAAACAGAAUUCAUAAACAUUCAUGAUUGGUAAUCAUUCUCUUGCCAUGAUAGUUUAGAAGUAGAGAUACAUUCUGAUAGGUGUUCUGAUAUAUCUUACUGACUGUGAUUGGCUACACAGCACAUGUGAACAUUUGUUGGCAUUAAAAGGAGGAAUGAUUUUUUUUAAUAUUAGGGAUAAAGAAUGUUCUGUAGAAACUACAGAGCUAAUUUCUGGAAUAAUUGGGAACACAGGGAGGGUUUUUGUUGUUAUUUUUCCAUGGUUCAUAAUUAUCUAGUACUUCCUACAGAGUGAAGUAGCAUUUUUUCUCAUUAACAAAAUCAAAUUAUGUAAAACUCUCCUGAGCCUUCAUUCUUUUAGCUGACAACGACCAAUCAUACACUUAAUCUUUACCAUCUGUUUUUGUUUAUACAAAUUGAAAUCAUUACCUUUGUUCUUUUGUAGGCUCCUACCUCUGCCAGUUUUAUUAUUUUUAUAUUCUUGUGGUAUAAACACAUCUUUGGCUCUCUAUCACUUUUUCUACAAAUAAAUCCCCCCUUUACUAGUAAUUGGUCAACUAUUGCAUCUCAGAAAAUAAAAACCUGAUUGUUUAAUGUAACUCAAUUAAAAUAGGCUUUUCAUGCAAUGUGGCAAUCAACAACUUAAUAUAUAGUAACUUGUUUGAAAUUUCAUAACUUAAUGUACUACAAUGGAUUUUGAUCAAUGCUCUCUAAUACUGUUGUUAUUUUCUCUAUGAUACAUAGUUACUUUGCAACUCAUUUUUAAUAUUUUCAUCUACAAUAUGUCAAGCAUUUAUUUAACGUACUGCCAUUGCUUAACUUCAUAGAUUGUUUGUUUAUGAUUCAUAAUAGAGAUCUCACACAAUACAUAAUUUCAAUUUUUGCCUAGUUAUGUUAUUUCCAUAAGGUAAAAUCUUUAACUUCACAAUAAAAUUGUAAGGCAAUAGAAAUUUUAAUUUGACAUGUAGAAUUAAUUCUAGAUGUUUAAGUUACAAUAUAAAUGUGUAGUCAUGCAUAUAGUAAAUUGUAAAUAAGAGACUUGCUCGAAAUUGUGUGAUGAAACAUAUUAUAUAAAAAUAUACUGAAGUUACCAGA